CUUUGCUUUGUUUCUCUGAAGAGAGAGAUCACGGAUCUUUUUUUUUUGUGUGUGUGUUGUCACAGCAGCAGCAACUAUCCUGCAGUCAAAGUCAUUAAACAUGUAAAACAGAAAGUGACGAGAUCAACGUCAGACUGAGAGACAAAGUCUGAGGAACCAGGUUUAUUUAAAUCAACAUUAUAACAGUCAGUUAUUUUGGUGAGUUUCUUGCCCAGCUCUGAGCCUGUCUUCUGAUUGGCUGACUGUUUUCUGAGUGAUCCAAUAAAAAUAAAGCAGAUUUCAGGUAAAAACACUCAGAGAAACCAAAUCCUGCAAGGUUUGGAUGGUGGGUCCAGGUGGGCGGGGCUUGGUGACUGCUUUGUUGUGACAUCACAAAGUUCCAGAAGUCCUGACGGCUGGUUUUAAGGCUCAGUUUCUGAAUACAGGCUGUGUGCAUUUCUCUGUGGACUGAGGCUUUGAUACUUUCACAGUAUUAAUAUAGAAGCUAGAGCUGAUCUAUAAUCUAUAAUCACACUACACAUGGACACAGACCUUUACACUGGAGGAGCUUUAAGGAGAAACUGAAGAAAGCCAUGUUCAUUUAUCUCAUUUGUUUAAAAAGGCAUCAAUAAAACUGAGAGUAAUGAAGCACAAACAUCAUCAUCAUCAUCAUCAUCAUCAUCACAGCAGAGUGAACUUGAACUGUGUGGAACUAAAACGGCUUGUUCUCUAUUAUUUGUAAUAAUUAACUCAAAUUACUGAUUUAACACAAAAGAAUUUGGAAAGAGAGGAAACGUUCUGCUCGACCAAACCUGCACUUGAAGCUUCGUAGAGCAGAUUCAGUGUUAUAACAACCCACUGCAGAUCUGUGACAAAACAAAAAGAUGCAGAGAGAAGUCGGAGCUCCGCCUUGAUGACGACCGCCAGCUGAACCUCAUCUGUCCCUAUAAACGACCCCGGAUCCGUCUCCUUCCUGUCUCAGAUCCGUCCUGCAGACUUUGUAGAAGGUUUGAUUUUUGUCAGUGAAGCUAGACAACAUAUGACAGGUCUUAUCUGACUCACCCCCCCAUCAACACCAACAUCUUCAGGUCAUCUGGAAAAUACAGCUGCCGCUCUGACUGAACGCCCCCAGAGGAACAAUAAAGUUUUAUUGAAGAUGUGAUGUCGGUCUGACAGCGACAGUUUCAACUUUUAUUUUAAAGGAUUUGCAAGAAAGACCGAUAUGUGCCAUGAAGGCAGUGAAACUGACAGAACACGCUGUUCUGGGGGGGCGGGGCCUUUAAAGACCGGGGGCAGAUCUGUGAAAGUGCUGACUUGGCGGGGGCCAGGCCGACCAUUGUGAGGCUGCAUCAUGUUCUGCCUGAGCCGGGGUCGUUUUUCACGCGGGGGCUGGCUGACCUUUUGAACAGCGUUUGGAUUUGGACACACUCCACAUGAAGAGGGGCCCCUGGCCCCGCCCCCCCCAGUAUGAGCCGCUCCUUUGGACACAAUGACCCAGGAGCACAUGGUAAACAUAAGCCCCCCCCCCCCCGAACGUCCUGAAGCCAGCGGCAGCACAUGUUGCUAAUGGUGAGGUCACAUGGCAGCAGAGGGUCGUACAUCCAGACCUGAACCGGACCUGAACCGGACCUGAACCGGACCUGAACCGGACCUGAACCAUCACGACCUGCUGACACACGAGCAUCAAUGUUUACAUUGUAAUAUUAAUAUUUAUGUUUAGAAAUUCCCAACACAAAGAGGAAUAACUGACCUCGUCCUCAAACUGUCUCAGAUGAGGUGAAAGAGAAAAUGAUUAUAAUAAUAAUAAUUAUUUGUUCCGUU